rnacentral:lncRNA from 1 species
AAUAUAACAUCAGAUAGUUGACCAGAUAACUGGAUGAGGGAUCUGCGUAAAGUAGUCAACCUCUGUGUUUGACCAGAUAACUGGAAGAGGGAUCUUUUUAAUUAAGUGUUGUUUUUUUAAGUAAAAGAUAGAACUAUAAUUAACAGAGAACAACACAAGAGAUUUAUACUGGUUCACCCAAACAAGGGCUAGUCCAGUCCCGACCAACUGCCGGAAUUCACUCGCCUAAAGGUAAUGGCAAAACCUUUCUAAGCUUUAAGGCUACUUCGCUUAGGAAUCAGUCUUUUACGGGUAGAUUCACACCUUAGAGUAUCAAGGGCACUCUUAAGAACCUCUAACUUUUACGGGUAAGUUAGUACCUUAGAGUAUCAAGGAACUCUUAAAAACCUCUCUAAGCUUUAAGGCUACUUCGCUUAGGAACCAGUCUUUUACGGGUAGACUCACACCUUAGAGUAUCAAGGGCACUCUUAAGAAUCUCUAACUUUUACGGGUAAGUUAGUACCUUAGAGUAUCAAGGAACUCUUAAAAACCUCUGAAAUCUUUAAAGGUAGACUCAACCUAAGAGUUUUCCCGGAAACUCUAUAAAACCAAACUAGAGCUUUAUGGUUGAACUCACAAACCUUCUCUAACACUUUGGUACUAUUGAGACAACCCUCUCAACCAAAGUAGACACACACAAGAGGUGAUUAGAGGAGUGGAAUAUUAAAGCAAACAAAACUUCUUACUUGUAAAGAUGAAC